rnacentral:rRNA from 11 species
AACGGAUAAAAGGUACUCUGGGGAUAACAGGCUGAUACCGCCCAAGAGUUCACAUCGACGGCGGUGUUUGGCACCUCGAUGUCGGCUCAUCACAUCCUGGGGCUGAAGCCGGUCCCAAGGGUUUGGCUGUUCGCCAUUUAAAGUGGUACGCGAGCUGGGUUUAGAACGUCGUGAGACAGUUCGGUCCCUAUCUACCGUGGGCGUUGGAAAUUUGAGAGGAUCUGCUCCUAGUACGAGAGGACCAGAGUGGACGAACCUCUGGUGUUUCGGUUGUCACGCCAGUGGCAUUGCCGAGUAGCUAAGUGCGGAAGAGAUAACCGCUGAAAGCAUCUAAGCGGGAAACUAACCUCAAAACCAGGUAUCCCUGAGAGCCGUGCAAGACCAGCACGUCGAUAGGCCGGGUGUGGAAGCGCAGCGAUGCGUG